CCUACGGGGGGCAGCAGUGAGGAAUAUUGGUCAAUGGGCGAGAGCCUGAACCAGCCAAGUCGCGUGAGGGAGUACUGCCCUAUGGGUUGUAAACCUCUUUUGUCGGGGAGCAAAAGCCGGACGUGUCCGGCUGUGAGAGUACCCGAAGAAAAAGCAUCGGCUAACUCCGUGCCAGCAGCCGCGGUAAUACGGAGGAUGCGAGCGUUAUCCGGAUUUAUUGGGUUUAAAGGGUGCGCAGGCGGAUUUUUAAGUCAGCGGUAAAAUCGUGGGGCUCAACCCCAUCCAGCCGUUGAAACUGGGGAUCUAGAGUGUGCGAGAGGUAUGCGGAAUGCGUGGUGUAGCGGUGAAAUGUAUAGAUAUCACGCAGAACCCCGAUUGCGAAGGCAGCAUACCGGUGCACAACUGACGCUCAGGCACGAAAGCGUGGGUAUCGAACAGGAUUAGAUACCCCUGUAGUC
rnacentral:rRNA from 1 species